AUUAAAAAAAUCAUGUCAUUUUCGAUCUUAAACUAUGCUUUAAGAUUGGAUUAUGGGUAGGUAAGUUAAGGUUUGAUCCUUUAAGACAAGGGAGUUGAUCGCUUCCGAUGAUACUAAAGAACUUUUGACUGGUAAAUGUGUUGCUUUUACGAAAAUCAAUGGAACAAUGAAAAAAAUGCAAGAAUUAUUUUUGGUAAAUGGAUACUUAUCGUUGGGGCAUAUCAACCCGAAUUCUACAAUGGGGGAAUUAAAAUUUAUUAUAACAAAUACGCCCAAUUCUAAUUAAUAUGAAGAAAUUAAAAACAUAUAAGUAGGUAAUUUCAUAUUAGUGAUAGAGUUCUCAUGAGUUUGCAGAACUCACUUUGUGAGGAAAAAAAAAAAAAAAACUAUUUACUAGUAUUAUCAAUUAUGUAAUCUACGACCAUACUUAAAUAAUUGAUAAUUUUCGUGAUAAUUAUGUAAUCUACAACUAUUUACUAGUUUAUCCCGAAACUUAUAGUUUUGUUCAAGUGGUGUUUUUAAUUUUUAUUAUUUAUUAAAACCAGGCCAGACCCACUAUGUCUAUAAGAACUUUGAAGCUAGUGUUUGUCUUAGUAUAUUUUGAUUUCAUCUAUUGUACUUAAUACUUUUGAUGCUUCCUUCACACAACCAGGUACAAUUUCACAAUCAGGUUGGAGUGGUUUAUUUCAAUCUUUACAAAUACCAGGGAACAUCGACACACCGUUCCAUCCAAACAAGAGGUGAAACAAGAUACGUCAAGAACCAUUGAUGUAUCCAUAUUGAAGGAGUCAUAUGUGGUGAAGACAGAGAAGAAGGGGUGGUUUAUUACAGAGGAAGCAAUGGAGAGAAACCACAAGACAUCAUAGGCUUCAUUCUCUUGCUGGCUCUCAUAGUCAUUAGCAACGUCGUCAUAUCAAGUUUACUAACCGUCAAAACUUGAACCUGUUGAUGAAGUUUGAUCUUGAGAGACAAAGUAGAUUGAGCAAAGCACUCGUUUCUAAUUCUGAUGUAUGUGAAUGUGAAUGUGUGUAUUACCAAGAAAAGAAACUCAAUUAUGUCUUGUGCCUAACACUUUCUUUGACUGAUUAGUUGACGACUUAAUCAGUUCAUCUUCAUUUUUUCUUUUGCAUUUGUGUUUAAGUAUUAGCGUUUGCGUUUGCGUUUGCGCUUACAUUUAUUGUAUGUGUUCGUGAAACGUGUUUAUGUUUGUAUCA